GCCCCCAUAGUUAAGUGGAUAUAACAAGCCCCUCCUAAGGGCUAAUCGCGUGUUCGACUCACGCUGGGGGUGCCA
rnacentral:tRNA from 1 species